UAAGCGGAGGAAAAGAAACUAACAAGGAUUCCCCUAGUAACGGCGAGUGAAGCGGGAUGAGCUCAAAUUUAAAAUCUGGCGGCCUCAGGUCGUCCGAGUUGUAGUCUAGAGAAUCGUUUUCCGCGUUGGCCUGUGUACAAGUCCCUUGGAACAGGGCGUCAUAGAGGGUGAGAAUCCCGUCCUUGACACAGAUUACCAAUGCUUUGUGAUGCGAUCUCGAAGAGUCGAGUUGUUUGGGAAUGCAGCUCAAAAUGGGUGGUAAAUUCCAUCUAAAGCUAAAUAUUGGCGAGAGACCGAUAGCGAACAAGUACCGUGAGGGAAAGAUGAAAAGCACUUUGGAAAGAGAGUUAAACAGUACGUGAAAUUGUUAAAAGGGAAACGAUUGAAGUCAGUCAUGCUUUCCGAGACUCAGCCGAUUCUGUCGGUGUACUUCUCGGUUGGCAGGCCAGCAUCAGUUUCGAUCUGUGGAAAAGGUUGGAGGGAACGUGGCAUCUCCGGAUGUGUUAUAGCCCUUCUUCGAAUACAUAGAGCGGGACUGAGGAACGCAGCGCGCCUUUUAUUAGGUUGGCCCUCGGGUACAUACGCGCUUAGGAUGCUGGCAUAAUGGCUUUAAACGACCCGUCUUGAAACACG
rnacentral:rRNA from 1 species